rnacentral:misc_RNA from 1 species
CCGAGUUUACAACUCCCAAACCCCUGUGAACAUACCUAUACGUUGCCUCGGCGGAUCAGCCCGCGCCCCGUAAAAAGGGACGGCCCGCCCGAGGAACCCCUAAACUCUGUUUUUAGUGGAACUUCUGAGUAUAAACAAACAAAUAAAUCA